rnacentral:rRNA from 1 species
AAAUUGAAGAGUUUGAUCAUGGCUCAGAUUGAACGCUGGCGGCAGGCCUAACACAUGCAAGUCGAGCGGCAGCGGGAAAGUAGCUUGCUACUUUUGCCGGCGAGCGGCGGACGGGUGAGUAAUGCCUGGGGAUCUGCCCAGUCGAGGGGGAUAACAGUUGGAAACGACUGCUAAUACCGCAUACGCCCUACGGGGGAAAGGAGGGGGACCUUCGGGCCUUUCGCGAUUGGAUGAACCCAGGUGGGAUUAGCUAGUUGGUGGGGUAAUGGCUCACCAAGGCGACGAUCC